UGAAGCUGCUAAGGAUGCAUAUCAGUGAUCUAUGGCAAAGAUGGAGGUCACCGAUCCCAAGGGCGUGAUGACAAGGGCAGCCUCAUCUUUUCUCUGUUCUUGGCAACAGCCAGUCUAGCCAGAAAGAACAAUCUGUCAAAUCUAAUUAGAGUAGAAGAAAGUGAACAAUGGGCUCCCAGCUCUAAAAUGACAGCCCAGUUUAAUGGGGUGGAGGAGCUCAGGAGAGAUGUGUGCUUUGUGUGCUUGAAAUUAGUUCCUUCAAAUGGAUCCUUUCUGAACCCAAACCGACUGGAUUCUUAUUUACUUCACCAGCACUCUCCAGUUCUCUGUGCUUUUAAAAUAAAUGCACAUCCAGCAAAAGCAGAGGAGAACUUGGCUCUGUUUCAGAGACUCUAUCCCCAGGCGUGGAGGACAACUCGCGAAAAUUCAGCUCCGGCGCCAUCUGCUGGACGCUCCGCGCCACUGCAAGACCCGGGAAAGUGUCUGUGUUGUAAGUGAUGGCCGGGCUGUGCGCCCUGGAAAGUCCCUGGCGCCAAGGCUUCUAUAAAAAUGUGCGAGGGGCUAGCUCACCCACACCUUACCAGAAGCCAUGAAACCCUCUAUUGGAGCUGAGCGGACCAGCAUCAAGGAAAUAGGUUUCACAGCUUGUCAGGUCACCUCUAUUCCAGG